GCCUCGGUGGUGUAGUGGUAGAGCACGUGUCCCCGGAUAGGAUGAAACCCGGGUUCGACUAUCGCCUGAGGUG